UACGGAAGGCAGCAGUGGGGAAUAUUGCACAAUGGGCGAAAGCCUGAUGCAGCUAUGCCGCGUGUAUGAAGAAGGCCUUAGGGUUGUAAAGUACUUUCAUCGGGGAGGAAAAAACAAAACUAAUAAUUUUAUUUCUUGACGUUACCCGAAAAAGAAGCACCGGCUAACUCCGUGCCAGCAGCCGCGGUAAUACGGAGGGUGCUAGCGUUAAUCAGAAUUACUGGGCGUAAAGAGCACGUAGGUGGUUUUUUUAAAGUUCAGAUGUGAAAUCCCUGGGCUUAACCUAGGAACUGCAUUUUGAAACUGAAAUACUAGAGUAUCGUAGAGGGAGGUAGAAUUCUAGGUGUAGCGGUGAAAUGCGUAGAUAUCUGGAGGAAUACCUGUGGCGAAAGCGGCCUCCUAAACGAAAUACUGACACUGAGGUGCGAAAAGCGUGGGGAGCAAAACAGGGAUUAGAUACC
rnacentral:rRNA from 1 species